AGAGUUUGAUCAUGGCUCAGAUUGAACGCUGGCGGUAUGCUUAACACAUGCAAGUCGAACGGUAACAGGAAAAGCUUGCUUUUCGCUGACGAGUGGCGGACGGGUGCGUAAUGCGUAGGAAUCUCCCUAGUAGUGGGGGACAACUCGGAGAAAUUCGAGCUAAUACCGCAUAAGCCCUACGGGGGAAAACGGGGGAUCUUCUGACCUCGUGCUAUUAGAUGAGCCUACGUUAGAUUAGCUUGUUGGUGAGGUAAAAGCUCACCAAGGCGACGAUCUAUAGCUGGUCUGAGAGGAUGAUCAGCCACACUGGGACUGAGACACGGCCCAGACUCCUACGGGAGGCAGCAGUGGGGAAUAUUGGACAAUGGGCGAAAGCCUGAUCCAGCAAUACCGCGUGUGUGAAGAAGGCCUGAGGGUUGUAAAGCACUUUCAAUUGGGAGGAAUACCUAAUGGUUAAUAGCCAUUAGAUUGAC
rnacentral:rRNA from 1 species